UACGUAGGUGGCAAGCGUUGUCCGGAAUUAUUGGGCGUAAAGCGCGCGCAGGCGGCCUCUUAAGUCUGAUGUGAAAGCCCCCGGCUCAACCGGGGAGGGCCAUUGGAAACUGGGAGGCUUGAGUAUAGGAGAGAAGAGUGGAAUUCCACGUGUAGCGGUGAAAUGCGUAGAGAUAUGGAGGAACACCAGUGGCGAAGGCGACUCUUUGGCCUAUAACUGACGCUGAGGCGCGAAAGCGUGGGGAGCAAACAGG
rnacentral:rRNA from 1 species